ensembl:lncRNA
UGGAAGGGCGUGUUUGAGUCUGGUUGGCGGUUAUGUUGGGAGGGUUUGUCUGGGUCAGGUUGGCGGUUAUGUUGGGAGGGUUUGUCUGGGUCAGGUUGGCGGUUAUGUUGGGAGGGUGUGUCUGGGUCAGGUUGGCGGUUAUGUUGGGAGGGUGUGUCUGGGUCAGGUUGGCGGUUAUGUUGGGAGGGUGUGUCUGGGUCAGGUUGACGGUUAUGUUGGGAGGGUUUGUCUGGGUCAGGUUGGCGGUUAUGUUGGGAGGGUUUGUCUGGGUCAGGUUGACGGUUAUGUUGGGAGGGUUUGUCUGGGUCAGGUUGGCGGUUAUGUUGGGAGGGUGUGUCUGGGUCAGGUUAGCGGUUAUGUUUGGAGGGUUUGUCUGGGUCAGGUUAGCGGUUAUGUUUGGAGGGUUUGUCUGGGUCAGGUUGGCGGUUAUGUUGGGAGGGUGUGUCUGGGUCAGGUUGGUGGUUAUGUUUGGAGGGUUUGUCUGGGUCAGGUUGGUGGUUAUGUUGGGAGGGUAUGUUUGGGGCAGGAUAGCGGUUAUGUUGGGAGGGUGUGUUUGGGUCAGGUUGGUGGUUGUGUUGGGAGGGUUUGUCUGGGUCAGGUUGGUGGUUAUGUUGGGAGUUUGUGUUUGGGGCAGGUUGGUGGUUAUGUUGGAAGGGUGUGUUUGUGUCAGGUUAGCGGUCAUGUUGAAAGGGCCCAUCUGGGUUGGGUUUGUGGUCAUAUUAAAAGGGCUCAUCUGGUUCGGGUUUGUGGUCAUGUUGAGAGGGCCCAUCUGGGAUAGGUUUGUAGUCAUAUUAAGAGGGCCUGUCUGGGUAAGGCUGGUGGUUAUGUUAUGAGGACCCAUCUGGGUUGGGUUUGUGGUCAUGUUAAAAGGGUUCAUUUGGUUGGGGUCUGUGGUCGUGUUUAAAGGGCUCAUCUGGUUCGGGUUUGUGGUCAUAUUGAGAGGGCCUAUCAGGGAUAGGUUUGUAGUCAUAUUAAGAGGGCCUAUCUGGGUAAGGCUGGUGGUCAUGUUGAGAGGACCAAUCUGGGUUGGGUUUGUGGUCAUGUUAAAAGGGCUUAACUGGUCGGGGUUUGUGGUCAUGUUGAGAGGGCCCAUCAGGGAUGGGUUUGUAGUCAUAUUAAGAGGGCCAGUCUGGGUAAGGCUGGUGGUCAUGUUGAGAGGACCCAUCUGGGUAAGGUUAAGGUUUAUGUUGGGAGGUCCUGUUUGAGUUAAGUUUGAAGUUAUGUUGAAGGGACCGACCUGGUUUAGGUUGGUGGUCAUGCUGGGUGGGUUCGUCUGGGUCAGGUUGGUGGUAAUGUUGGGUGGUAGUGUCUGGGUCAGGUUGGUGGUCAUGUUGGUUGGUAGCGUCUGGGUCAGGCUGGUGGUCAUGUUAGAAGAUAUCCAGCUGUCUGUAGAGUUGCUACUGCUUGUUGUAUUGCUCCCAUUGACUCCAAGCAUCAUGCAUGCUAUCCCCAGGAUAGCCACAUAAAUCCAUUUACUCCUCAUCCGUGAUCUUUAUGUGCUUAUGUAUCUGUUAAUCGUGCAGUUUUUGUUACCUAUAAUUUAAAAGAAAACAAAUCAUCUUGUAUAAUCAACAAAAAAAAAUAAACAUUUUGGAUAAUUUAAAUUUGAUUUUAAAAGCCAUUAACGAAAGGCAGGCUUUAUCUGAAAGACUUUGUCGUUCAUAAUCUUUUAUCAUUCCUUCCCAGACACAAACAAGCAUGAACCUGGAUCCUCAAUUCAUCAACACCUUAGUUUAUUUACCACAUCUUAUUUAGCAAUAUGGUAUUCAUAAAUAUUAUGGCAUUUUAACAAUUUAACCUUAACACUAACAUACGAGUUUUGCUUAAUGUCUUUUCAUUUCUUUAUCUCAGCAAUGGUUGUUUGUUUGAUGGAACUAAGAGGCUAUCUAUGCAAUCUUCAAAUAAUUCUUGUUACACAACAUUAUAUACUACACAGUGCAACCAUUUAACCUUCUUACUAUGGUAAAGUGUAAAAUUACAGAAUUUGAUAGAUCCUCAAAAUCCAUCCUCAAAACUAAGUGAGCAUAAAAAAAUAAAAUUUUUGCAACUAAAAACUUUUUUUUUUUAAUGUAUGCUUUAGAAGUCAGUGGCUCCUUAGUCAUUCCAUAGUCUCUCGAAAAGUUGGGUCGUUCAGACAGGAUAGCACCGUCCAAUAACACAAAGUAUUUUUAUUUUUUUUCCAGAGUAGACACAACAUUUUGUAAAAAUGUACCAAAAAUUAAAUAAUACAUAAUUGACUUCUAUUUUUAUAACUAAUUUGAAUUAUAAUAUAAAGAUAAAAUAUAUUCAAUUGAUAGGCUAUCUAAUAUUCAUUCAGUACAAUGCAUAAUAAGAUUUGUAAUUUAUGAUCAAACUCAGAUAAAAUAAUAAAAAAUAAAAAAAAACAGCAUGCAUUGGUAUCUGAACAAACAGGAAAAAACAG